CCAAUAGCGUAUAUUAAAGUUGUUGCAGUUAAAAAGCUCGUAGUUGAAUUUCGAGACCGGUCUACUGGUCGUGCUUUUGUACGUACUGGUAUAAUCGGUUUCUCUCUUCUGACAAACUAUAAUGCCAUUCAUUUGGUGUUUUAGGGAAUCAGGACUGUUACUUUGAAAAAAUUAGAGUGUUUAAAGCAGGCUCACGCUUGAAUACAUUAGCAUGGAAUAACGAAAUAGGACGUUUGAUUCUAUUUUGUUGGUUUCUAGGAUCGACGUAAUGAUUAAUAGGGAUAGUUGGGGGCAUUAGUAUUCAAUUGUCAGAGGUGAAAUUCUUGGAUUUAUUGAAGACUAACUACUGCGAAAGCAUUUGCCACGGAUGUUUUCAUUAAUCAAGAACGAAAGUUAGGGGAUCGAAGACGAUCAGAGACCGUCGUAGUCUUAACCAUAAACUAUGCCGACUAGGGAUCGGAUGAUGUUAAAUUAAUGACUCAUUCGGCACCUUACG
rnacentral:rRNA from 1 species